UUGGAUUGUCUACCAUGGACACGGACGGCUAAGAUUGAAUUGCAAAAAAAUCCCCAAAAUUCCUUUUCGUUUCGCUCACACAGACCCGUUCCAAAAUUUCCAAAUCCUCUUCUCCUCCCAACCUACCUUCCUUCCUCUUCUCGUUUGUGCGCUUGAGUUGCAGCUGCAAGUGAGAAACCCUAACCCUAGGUAGCUGAAAGUGACGGCCGGUCAUGGUCUGAGAUCUAGAAACUGCGAUCUGUUUUCGAGGCCGUUCAGGAAGAAGGGUUAUAUACCACUCACCACUUAUAGAGGACUCACAAGAUUGGGGACUAUGUGGAUAUCAAGGUGAACAGAGCUGUCCACAAGGGUAUGCCCCACAAGUUCUACCAUGGCCGCACUAGUUGUGUCUGGAACGUCACCAAGCGCGCCAUCGACGUCAAGUUGAUGCAGUUGCAAACUAUGCGAACAAGCUGAAGGACCAAGUGCAGGAGUCAGAGUCUCAUUCUGCUAUCCUCCAACAGAAGAUUAGGGAGCUUGAGAGAAAAUUGAAAGAUCAGGAAAGAGAGAAAGAAUCCUUGCUUCAUUAGAAGAUUAAGGAGCUCGAGGAAAAGUUGAAGGAACAAGAGCUACAGUUACAGUGCACUCAUGAUUUUGUCGACGCAGCAAAGGCUACGCCUGCAGAAAGAAAGAUUAGUACGAGAGAUGAAUUCAUGAGUGACAUAGAAUCUCAUAUCUUAAGGAGUUCAAACUCAUUGAUGAAUCGGCCUAAGAGUCAAGGUUCUAAUAGAGGGAAUCAUUCUAUCCAUGAGAGAACAAGAAGGAAAAGAGAGUUCAAAAGUGGUGAUACAGAGAACAUUAUAAUGGUAACAAAUUGUUUAAAUGAUAACAGGGCUAGGAAAUCUGACCCAUCUAAGAUUGCAAGAAUUAUGAGAACGGCAAAGCCAUCCACUACAAUUGCUGUUCAAGGGCCCUUGACUCACAAGAGGGUUAUAAGAGAUCAAGUACAAGGACUGAAGGAUCAGAGGGAUGCUAAGAAAAAAAUUUGGUCGAGUUGCCCUUUUGUGUUGUCUUUUUAUAUACAUGAGUUUUAUUUUUUAUUUUUUAUUUUUUAUUUUUAUAGAUAUAUAGAUGUAUCACUUGUGCAUUAUUUUUCUCGUAAAUCUCCUUAUGUACAAUCACUAUGUAGGUAAUUUGAAAUUAAAUGUGCACUAUGUAUUGAUAUUGGAUUCAUAUAAUUUAUUUAGUGCUUA